rnacentral:lncRNA from 1 species
AUAUUUUGCCUCCAAAUCAAUUCUCAUUUUUAGUCCAGGAUAUGUGCAUGACAUCGUGAUAUUAGCACUUGCUACAAAUGUUGUUGAAUUCAAGGUGCUCUAUAUAUGCUACCUAAUAGAUAUGCAACCUUGAUUAUUUUUUUUUCCGGCUCUUUGUUUAUAUUAGAGUUACAUGUAUAGUUUAAAAUUGUUUUAUUAGAGUUAUAUGUCUAAUUGGAAAUUUUUUGCCUUGCCUCGGUUCAUAUGAGUCAUGUUUAUUUUGUUACAAUAUGGUGAUAGGUUUGAAUAGAUGUUAAUUCAUUUGUCCUCAUAUACGUUAAAAGUUCCUUUCCUUUAUUUGGUGGAGUCUUAAAUAUUUUGUAUGCAUGGGUCUCCAUACACAUGUCCAGCAUCUGUGUUUGUUUCUACCUUGACAAAUGCUUGACUCGUUACUUGUAGACGUUUAAAUUUAAUAUAUUAAUUCAUUUUGUUGUAGCUCAUUAGAUGCUUUUGAUAAUGUGUCUCUUAUCAUUAGCUAUGAACAAUUUUGAUUUGUUUAAAUUAUCAUUCUAAUCCUUAUUGUUCAUUUCCUUGCAUGAAUCUCUUUGUACCGAGUCUGAUUUGGGACUCCCCUUUCCUCCUCGCAUCGUCUUGUUGGAUCAAAUCCAACAGUUUUCCUCGAGUCAGCCCCCCUCCCCAUUUCAAAUCGUGGAGUAACGAAACAGGUUGAAGGCAGCAAAUAGGGCAAGAAAUUGAAACUUAAGUGCCCGAAAAGUCCAGAACAGGCUGAAUGUUCCUAUAUACGGCAGUAUAUACUAGUAUACACAGUGAAAUAUUGAUAUACCGGUCAAAAAAUGUGAAAAUACAGAGCUGAGGCGAAAUACAGGUGUUUGGAAGCAAGAAAUACAUAAAAAGGGCUGAUAUACAUGCCGAUAUACGCCGAUAUACACCCAUAAAAAGGGCUGAUAUACAUGCCGAUAUACACUGAUAUACAUGAGCUGUAUACCAAAAACGGGUUUUGUUUAAACCCCAAAAAAGUAGCGAAUUUGGCCUAAGAAAGGCCCAAAUUCCAUUUCUCCCUUACUCUUUAAUUAUUUAAUUGUGAUUACUUAUUAUUUGUUGUUUAACUCUAACUAUAGAAAUUUUAAUUAACUUAGUUGAAUUCCCCAAAAGACGAACUAUUUAUCUGAGUUGUUUUGUUUCUAACAAAACUUAUUUUAUCAACUCUUGUAUUUUCAUCUA